rnacentral:lncRNA from 1 species
AUUUGUGCAAUUGGUUUGAUAAAUUUGCCACAAUAGGUACUUAAUUCUGCUUAAAACUGCGACAGCAGAUACCAUGUUAGCUUUACUGGGAAUAUCUGUGGUGACGGGGUUGUCCUUGAUUCAUUUUGAGUAAUAAAUUCAGCAAGAAUUGCCAGUCCAAUGUGAAAUGCAGUAAAUUACUGCCCCAUAAAUGGAACUGCAAGAAUUGGGAUCCAUUCAAUAUUUUACCUUGAGGAUGACUCGAAUUCCACUCUCUUUAGAGCUAGAUUGAUAACUACUAACUAGUAAUUAACUUGAUGAAUUACAAAAUAAAUCUUACACCAACACAAAUAGGGGCAUCCACUUCUGAUAGAAGUAGAGUAAAGAUUACAAGUUUAGUCUUUAAUAUAAUUAUCUUAAAAUUGUUGUUCAUGAGGGUCUUGCCUCAUUGAAUAUCAUGUAAUUACCAAUGCAUUAGGAUUCAAUAUAAAAUCUGCCAGCAGUAUAUAUAUUUCGUAAAUUUUGGAGAAUAGCUGAAAACUACAUGUUUGUUCACUCAUAUUUGAAGAAUAAGAAUUUGCUAAUACAAUGUCAUGGCAUACAUAUUAAAAACCAAUAAUGCUAUCUAGUACCAGUCUAGGAGGCCACAUUUAAUAGGUCCAAUUAAAUUAAUCAUGUGAUAUUGCAUUUACAUGAAAAUAUUAUUUAAUGCAUGCAAUUGCUACUUAGACUGAUACUUAACACUAGUGAUGUUGAAUAUCAUUACUCAUUAAAAAGACUGACUUGCAUUCUUCAAAGAGCACUGAAGUCUAUUGAAGACCACAACAUUAAGAUGGCUUUGAAAGAUACAAAUCUUGACCAUCGGACCAUGAAGUAUUGACAUUGGAAACUAAUUAAAAGGUUGCUUUCGAAACCAUGAAAUUCCGUAAGCUCCUCAAAAUUCUAGAAUACAUUAUUCAGCCAAUAUAAAGAGGCUAACUUUGUAGUAUUGAAUUAUUCACAAAUGUAAUCAUAAAAAACAUAGAGAGAGUCGUACUUGCUUUUUGUACUCAAGUAAAAUAUAGUGUGUAGGUUAGCCAUUCUUGUAAAAUUCAAUAAAUGAAACUGUAAAUUUCAUAAACACCUAGCUUCCACACCUAACUUGGGCACCUUAUAACAAUACGUGUGCUAGAGCGUUGUUUAUUACGUAUCACAAAAAUGUUUUCAAUCAUCUCGAACAACUUAAAUUUCUAUAUUGUACCAGAGCCAACAAAUAUAAUCACAUAUUUGAAUUCUAUUUGAUGGUUUAAUCUUUUGGAUGAAAUAUUUCAUAACAGAGUCGAAAUUUAAAAGUCAUGCCCUCAAAUUGUAUUGUGCAUUUAAUAUUUUUUCCCCCUUUCAUAAGGCCUCGGAACUAAUGUAACCCAAAAUUAGUACUAUUGAACGGUUUUUGAAACAAUUUAAUAUAAUUUCCAUUUUGUAACAAAAUCAUGUCAAUGUUAAGUUAACCAUGUCACAAUUAUAAAAUUGUAUUAAAAUUUAAGUUAAAGUCAACAAUUAAUUUUAACCACACAUAUCAUGAGACUCACAAUUUUUCAACCACACAUUUUAUCAACUUUUAUUAAAAUCUUUUCUUUUCUUUUCUUUUUUAUCUAAACCAAAUAGGGGCUAUAUAAAAUUCAACAUUGAGAUCCACAAAAUUAAACAUUAAAAAAUAUAUGCAGUAAAAAAUUUUAAAAAUGAGGUUGAAAUUAUCAUUUUGACUAAUAUUAACCAACAAAUAUGGACUUUAAAAUACUUUUGAAAAAACGGAUUAG